CCACAUCUCGUUAAAACAUCGGUUCUCGUAUGAUCGCCGAAGUUAAGCAACGCCGAGCCUAGUCAGUACCAAGAUGGGUGACCGCUUAGGAAGACCAGCUGUUGUAAU